UACGGGGGGGGCAAGCGUUGUUCGGAAUUACUGGGCGUAAAGGGCUCGUAGGCGGCCAACUAAGUCAGACGUGAAAUCCCUCGGCUUAACCGGGGAACUGCAUCUGAUACUGGAUGGCUUGAGUUCGGGGGAGGGAUGCGGAAUUCCAGGUGUAGCGGUGAAAUGCGUAGAUAUCUGGAGGAACGCCGGUGGCGAAAGCGGCGUACUGGACCUCUUCUGACGCUGAGGCGCGAAAGCUAGGGGAGCAAACGGG
rnacentral:rRNA from 1 species